GACGAACGCUGGCGGCGUGCUUAACACAUGCAAGUCGAACGGAAAGGCCCUGCUUUUGUGGGGUGCUCGAGUGGCGAACGGGUGAGUAACACGUGAGUAACCUGCCCUUGACUUUGGGAUAACUUCAGGAAACUGGGGCUAAUACCGGAUAGGAGCUCCUGCUGCAUGGUGGGGGUUGGAAAGUUUCGGCGGUUGGGGAUGGACUCGCGGCUUAUCAGCUUGUUGGUGGGGUAGUGGCUUACCAAGGCUUUGACGGGUAGCCGGCCUGAGAGGGUGACCGGCCACAUUGGGACUGAGAUACGGCCCAGACCCCUACGGGAGGCAGCAGUGGGGAAUAUUGCACAAUGGGCGGAAGCCUGAUGCAGCAACGCCGCGUGCGGGAUGACGGCCUUCGGGUUGUAAACCGCUUUCGCCUGUGACGAAGCGUGAGUGACGGUAAUGGGUAAAGAAGCACCGGCUAACUACGUGCCAGCAGCCGCGGUGAUACGUAGGGUGCGAGCGUUGUCCGGAUUUAUUGGGCGUAAAGGGCUCGUAGGUGGUUGAUCGCGUCGGAAGUGUAAUCUUGGGGCUUAACCCUGAGCGUGCUUUCGAUACGGGUUGACUUGAGGAAGGCAGGGGAGAAUGGAAUUCCUGGUGGAGCGGUGGAAUGCGCAGAUAUCAGGAGGAACACCAGUGGCGAAGGCGGUUCUCUGGGCCUUUCCUGACGCUGAGGAGCGGAAGCGUGGGGAGCGAACAGGCUUAGAUACCCUGGUAGUCCACGCUGUAAACGGUGGGUACUAGGUGUGGGGUCCAUUCCACGGGUUCCGUGCCGUAGCUAACGCUUUAAGUACCCCGCCUGGGGAGUACGGCCGCAAGGCUAAAACUCAAAGGAAUUGACGGGGCCCCGCACAAGCGGCGGAGCAUGCGGAUUAAUUCGAUGCAACGCGUAGAACCUUACCUGGGUUUGACAUGGAUCGGGAGUGCUCAGAGAUGGGUGUGCCUCUUUUGGGGUCGGUUCACAGGUGGUGCAUGGCUGUCGUCAGCUCGUGUCGUGAGAUGUUGGGUUAAGUCCCGCAACGAGCGCAACCCUUGUUCACUGUUGCCAGCACGUUAUGGUGGGGACUCAGUGGAGACCGCCGGGGUCAACUCGGAGGAAGGUGGGGAUGACGUCAAGUCAUCAUGCCCCUUAUGUCCAGGGCUUCACGCAUGCUACAAUGGCUGGUACAGAGAGUGGCGAGCCUGUGAGGGUGAGCGAAUCUCGGAAAGCCGGUCUCAGUUCGGAUUGGGGUCUGCAACUCGACCUCAUGAAGUCGGAGUCGCUAGUAAUCGCAGAUCAGCAACGCUGCGGUGAAUACGUUCCCGGG
rnacentral:rRNA from 1 species